ensembl:lncRNA
ACUCGUAAGCUCACGUUAAGUAGCAAGGUUAGGUUUGGUCGUUAUUAACAUGCAGUCGGCCCAAUAUUGUCAUAAUAAGACUGGUUCAGACUGCUGGCCUGGGUUGGCCUUCACUGGCUGGCUAUUUCUCGAGAAAAACACUAUACAAGUUGAUGCUAGCUACAGUAUAUAACGUUAGCACUUUGCAUCUCAUUGUGUGCUAUGAAAUAAAAAAUUGAGUGGAUGUGAAAAGUCUAUUAUUACUGUCCAUAUAGCAAAAUUAGAUUAGAUUCAGUUUGGGAUUAGUUUUAACUUUACUCUCAAGUUCAAGUACCGUGAAAUACAGUUUUACAUCUAACCAGAGUGCAAACUAGUAAAGUGCUGAGUGAGUCAGUGCCUCAUAUGCAGAUGAGGAUAUCAACAUGUGGACUUUAUAGACAGAGGUGCAAAAGAUGAGCAUAUGUUAUAUACUGAUGAACAGAAAUAAGUAUAAGUUACAUACUGAUGGAAUAUUGAAUCAAAUAAGUUGAGCAUAAUAAUAAUAAUAAAUGAUAUAUACAGGUAGAGUUAUGUUUAUGCAGAGAGGUAUGCACAUAGAGCUGUGAGCAUAUGGGACUAAGGCUAUGUCACCCACUACUCCCUAUAUAGUCCUCUACGUUGGAGUCCCUAUGUAGUGACUAGGGAGUAGGGAAUGAGUGAGUGAUUUCGGACACAUCCUAAGUGAAUUUAUAUAAAAAGAAUGCCAAAAUUAAAAUGCUUAGCAACUUAAUAAUAAUAUCAUUUGAAAAAUGGAAAUGAUUUACUCCAUGUUGAUAAUACACUUGUUUGUUAUAUCAUUUUAGAUUCACUAUUAAAAUAUUUGGGACCACCUGCAGCUGAAUCAUCAGACCAGGAACAGCCAUGCACCUCAGCUGCUCCGGUUUCCUCAGAGCCACCAGAAGAGACACAACAAGAGCAUGCUGCUCUUCCUGCCAACCUCACCCUCAGGAGGUUAUUGAUGACUUUGCGGCAAGGAAGGCCAGAAAGAUUGCAUUGUGAAUGAAGUGUGAUAUUAGUGUGAAGUAGAAUAUAUUAUUCUAUUCACUUGGGGUGAAUUUGAACCUUAUUUGUUUAUUUUGUAUAUUAUAUUUUGAUUAAUAGGUUAUAUGAAUCACAUUUUACAGUAUCUAAUUUUGCACACAAUGUUUUAUUGUUAGUUUAAUUUUUAGUUUUGAUUCUUUAGUGUGCACUUUUUGUUCUCAGAUAUUGCACUACUGUUAAAAAUAUGUUUAAAAGUUUAUUUUUUGUAUAUUUAUUAUUGAACAGGUUUAUUAUUUUGCACAUAUUGUUAUAUUGUUUGUAUUAUCAUUGUUUAAAUAAAUGUGCAAUUCUUUGGACAUGAGUUCUUUUCUCGUGGGGAUGGGGCGCUAUCAGUAAAGCUCGCCUAGGGCACCAAAUGGUCUAGGACCGCCCCUGCUCAUUGCAAACAGAGAACCUGUAAC